CACGUAGGGUGCGAGCGUUGUCCGGAAUUAUUGGGCGUAAAGAGCUCGUAGGCGGUGUGUCGCGUCGGCCGUGAAAACCUGCAGCUUAACUGUGGGCUUGCGGUCGAUACGGGCAUCACUGGAGUUCGGCAGGGGAGACUGGAAUUCCUGGUGUAGCGGUGAAAUGCGCAGAUAUCGGGAGGAACACCAAUGGCGAAAGCAGGUACCUGGACCAUUACUGACACUCAGCUGCGAAAGCUAGGGGAGCAAACAGG
rnacentral:rRNA from 1 species